rnacentral:rRNA from 1 species
UACGUAGGGUGCGAGCGUCGUCCGGAAUUAUUGGGCGUAAAGAGCUCGUAGGCGGUCUGUCGCGUCUGCUGUGAAAACCCGAGGCUCAACCUCGGGCCUGCAGUGGGUACGGGCAGACUAGAGUGCGGUAGGGGAGAAUGGAAUUCCUGGUGUAGCGGUGAAAUGCGCAGAUAUCAGGAGGAACACCGGUGGCGAAGGCGGUUCUCUGGGCAUUACCUGACGCUGAGGAGCGAAAGUGUGGGGAGCGAACAGG